AAUGAACGUUGGCGGCGUGGAUUAGGCAUGCAAGUCGUACGAGAAGAAACCUUAGCUUGCUUUGGUUUCGGACAGUGGCGAAAGGGAGAGUAACGUGUGGUUACUUGCCCUCGAGUUCGGGAUAGCGUUGGGAAACUGGCGGUAAUACCGAAUAAUAUCUUUGGAUCAAAGGUGUGAUUCCGCUCGAGGAUAGGACCGCAUACUAUUAGCUUGUUGGUGAGGUAACGGCUCACCAAGGCUGCGAUGGUUACCGGGUGUGAGAGCAUGGCCCGGCUCACUGGGACUGAGACACUGCCCAGACACCUACGGGUGGCUGCAGUCGAGAAUCUUUGGCAAUGGACGAAAGUCUGACCAAGCGACGCCGCGUGCGGGAUGAAGGCCCUCGGGUUGUAAACCGCUGUCAGUUUGGAGGAAUGGACUGUGAAGAGCAGUUCUUGACCGAUAUUCAGAGGAAGGACGGGCUAAGUUCG
rnacentral:rRNA from 1 species